GAUGAACGCUAGCGGCAGGCCUAAUACAUGCAAGUCGAACGGUGUCUUCGGACAUAGUGGCGCACGGGUGCGUAACACGUAUGCAACCUACCUUACAUUGGGGGAUAGCCUUUCGAAAGGGAGAUUAAUACCGCAUAAGACAGUAGUCUGGCAUCAGACAGCUGUUAAAGAUUUAUCGAUGUAAGCUGGGCAUGCGUCCAAUUAGUUAGUUGGCGGGGUAAAGGCUCACCAAGACGAUGAUUGGUAGGGG
rnacentral:rRNA from 1 species